GGGGACCUGCCCAGCAGGGCCCUUAAACCGCGGAGCCGCAAGGCUUCGCCACACAACGGAAGACAGAAA
rfam:Maribius salinus strain DSM 26892 genome assembly, contig: Ga0069991_105